AUUGAACGCUGGCGGCAGGCCUAACACAUGCAAGUCGAAUGGUAACAGGAAACAGCUUGCUGUUUCGCUGACGAGUGGCGGACGGGUGAGUAAUGUCUGGGAAACUGCCUGAUGGAGGGGGAUAACUACUGGAAACGGUAGCUAAUACCGCAUAACGUCGCAAGACCAAAGAGGGGGACCUUCGGGCCUCUUGCCAUCAGAUGUGCCCAGAUGGGAUUAGCUAGUAGGUGGGGUAACGGCUCACCUAGGCGACGAUCCCUAGCUGGUCUGAGAGGAUGACCAGCCACACUGGAACUGAGACACGGUCCAGACUCCUACGGGAGGCAGCAGUGGGGAAUAUUGCACAAUGGGCGCAAGCUUGAUGCAGCCAUGCCGCGUGUAUGAAGAAGGCCUUCGGGUUGUAAAGUACUUUCAGCGGGGAGGAAGGGAGUAAAGUUAAUACCUGUGCUCAUUGACGUUACCCGCAGAAGAAGCACCGGCUAACUCCGUG
rnacentral:rRNA from 1 species